rnacentral:rRNA from 1 species
CCCAGACUCCUACGGGAGGCAGCAGUGGGGGAUAUUGCACAAUGGGGGAAACCCUGAUGCAGCAACGCCGCGUGAGUGAAGAAGUAUUUCGGUAUGUAAAGCUCUAUCAGCAGGGAAGAGAAUGACGGUACCUGACUAAGAAGCCCCGGCUAACUACGUGCCAGCAGCCGCGGUAAUACGUAGGGGGCGAGCGUUAUCCGGAUUUACUGGGUGUAAAGGGAGCGUAGACGGCUGGUCAAGUCUGAAGUGAAAGCCCGGGGCUUAACCCCGGAACGGCUUUGGAAACUGAGCAGCUAGAGUGCUGGAGAGGUAAGCGGAAUUCCUAGUGUAGCGGUGAAAUGCGUAGAUAUUAGGAGGAACACCAGUGGCGAAGGCGGCUUACUGGACAGUAACUGACGUUGAGGCUCGAAAGCGUGGGGAGCAAACAGGAUUAGAUACCCGCGUAU